rnacentral:lncRNA from 1 species
AUCCAUCACCUAGCAUAGUGUCGGACCGUCGCACUCCCACUCCAUUACUGCACUCGGCGUGGGGAACAAUGGAGGCAGUCGUACUACCUGCCCAUGACGAAUCUCGCUGGACGACACUCGACGUACAACGCGUGCUCGGCGUCAACCUUACGCGAGAGCUUCAUUGGCCAGCCGGCGGGUCCCACUGCCAAUCGAGACCAUGCAGCCGGGGGGGGCCCUCAAGCGACAAGACAAGACUCUAGUGGCCCCCUGGCCAGCCGGCGAGGCUGCCAGCCGGGUCCCACACUUGUACCCUUUAUCCAUAUUGUAGGCCGGCGGGUUCGUCUAUAAAACCCCCCAGUCGCCCUCCAUGCACGGGGCCGAUCAUUCCACGGACGAACAACACUACACACUCACCAACCAUAUAGAGAGAGGCAGAGACGAGCUGGCUGCUCCCCUAUUCCUCCUCCCAACACAGCUCCAGGAGCAACUCUUUAAUUUGUUCAUACACAUCAAACACUCCGGCGGGACUAGGGGUCUUAUCUCUAUCGAGAGCCCUGAACGUGGGUACAUCGUGUGUUCCAUGCUUGUACCAACCUCGUUCCCAGCACCCUCCUUUGUCCCNAGAGAGGCAAAGAUGAGCCGGCUGCUCCCCUCUUCCUCCUCCCAACACAACUCCGGGAGCAACUCUGUACUUUGUUCAUACACAUCAAACACUCCGGUAGGACUAGGCGUCUUAUCUCUAUGGAGAGCCCUGAACCUAGGUACACCAUGCGUUCCAUGCUUGUACCAACCUCGUUCCCAGCGCCCUCCUUUGUCCAUUCGGUUCUCACCGACUUUAGCCUACCUAUGGCAUAUGUUGUGAGUAUUCACCGACACUCCUGCUGGUUGUCAUACUCAUCGACAUGCAAGUCGUGAAUCCUAUUACAAGAACGCGAUCAAUCUCAUACAUCACAUAUGUAACAUCACAUCCUUUUGGCCAUAUCACAUCACAUAGAUACUCUGCAAAAACAAGUUAGACGUCCUCUAAUUGUUGUUGCAAGUUUUACGUGGUUGGUUAGGGUUUCUAGCAAGAACAUUUCUCACCUACAUGACAGCCACAACGUUGAUAUGCCAAUGUUAUUUACCCUUCAUAAGGACCCUCUUCAUCGAAUCCGAUACGACUAAAGUGGGAGAGACAGACACCCUCUAGCCACCUUAUGCACCAAGUGCAUGUCACGCUGUGGAACGAGUCUCACGUAAGCGUACGUGUAAAGUCGGUCUCGGCCGCUUCAUCCCACGAUGCCGCCGAAUCAAGAUAAGACUAGUAACGGCAAGCAAAUUGACAAAUCAGCGCCCACAACUUUUGUGUUCUACUCGUGCAUAGAAUCUACGCACAUGGCCUUGGCUCGGAUGCCACUGUUGGGGAUCGUAGUAAUUUCAAAAUUUUCCUACGCCAUGCAAGGACCUAUCUAUGGACAAACCAGCAACGAGAGAGGUUGUAGAGCAUAUUCAUACCUUUGAAGAUUGCUAAGCGGAAGCGUUACUAUGAACGCAGUUGCUGGAGUCGUACUUGCAGUGAUUCAGAUCGCGGUGCAUUCCAAUCUAUGUGCUGAAUCACGGCACCUCCGCGUUCAACACACGUACAGCCCGGUGACGUCUCCUCCUUCUUGAUCCAGCAAGGAGAGAGGAGAAGUUGAGGGAGAGCUUCGGCAGCACAACGCGUGGUGGCGGUGGAGCUAUGUGGUUCUCCGGCAGGGCUUCGCCAAGCGCUGCGGAGGACGUGUAGGAGGAGGAGUAGGGCUGCACCGUGGAGAGAUGAAUUGUGUGUCUCCAAAAGGCCAAAACUCUCCACUAUAUAUAGGAGGAGGGAGAGGGAGGCUGCCUUGACCCCUCCUCCAAGGAGGAGGAGCUUCGGUUGAAGCUAGGGAGGAGUCCAGCUCCCACAAGGGAGGUGGACUACCUUGGUAUGACUCUUCCUCCUUUUCCUUUUAAGCCUUUUGCCUUAUCUCCUCUAUCCCUAUGCGCAUAGUCCUUUAGGGAAGGCCUUGGCCAGCCCAAUAAGGGCUGGCCCACCUCCUCUAACAGCCCAUGCACCUCUUUGGUCGUCACACCCUUCCCGGGGGUCCUCCGGCACCCUCCCGGCACCCCCGAUACACUACCGAUGAGCCCGAAACUUUUCCGACGACCAAAACAGGAUUUCCUAUAUAUCAAUCUUUACCUCCAGACCACUGAUGACGAGUUGAUGGAUAUACUUCUCGCCCCUCGUUGGUUACCCCAAGUGGAAGGUGGAGAUGUAGUCAACAACAGAUUUCCCUUACACGGGGUUGUAAGGUUUAUCGAACCAGGAGGACUACGAGGAUCUACAAGUAUGUGUCCGCUGCUCUGGCGCUAGCAGAAGAUGUGGAUAUGUACACACAACAAAUAACUUUUCUCCCUGCGAGUAGAGAGAGGUUGACAAUCUCUCCGGCCUUAUAGUUUGCAAAGGAUCAAAACACAAGCGGGAAUAAUGAUAGUGAUUGCAACGGAAAAUAAAAUGAAAGCAAUAAAUGGUGGAGGUAUAAACAAUGGUGGUAAUAUGGACCUGAGUCACAUGAUGUUCACUAGUGAUGUAUCUCUUGCAAAAGACGAUAAACAACUAUGCAUGGAUAAACAAAUUACAGUUGGGCCAUUGACAAAAUUAUAAACGCACCGCAAUGCUAAUUAUGUUACUUGAAAGUUAGAGGCUCAAUAGUAAUGGGCAGUACGCCAAGACAAGUAGACCGUUUAUUCAUCAGCAUCUACUUACUAAUCAUGCACCUUCAGAUAUCUAUCCAGAACAUCUCGCCCGUAUUAAGUUGCGAGCCCCAUCCAAAGUGUAAACUCAAAGCAAUGGACAACUGCAUUAACGAACUUUGCGUAAGGUAAACAAUCCUUGCAACAAUGGUCACAAGCAUCGUUGUUUUCUCCCUGGUGGCGACAGCACAUCCCCUAGUCUCAUGUUUCUAUCACUCAAGCUAGACAUCAGGGGGCAUGAACCCACACUCACGCAUAAUGCUCCCUCUUGGAGUUACAAUCUACUACUUGGCCAAAGCAAUAAAGAGCAACGGAAAACAUGCAUGAAUCACUAAAGAACAGAAUAUAAAACGAUAAUCAAAUAUACAAAUCAUCACAAUUUGAACAUAAUCUCAUAAUCCAUCGGAUCCCAGCAAACCAAGCAUAGCAAUAGCAUGAAAAAUACAUACAUGCCUUGAUCAUGUAGGGCAGCUCACAAGGGCUAAUCAUUCAAGCACAAGAUUGGAGAGAAGACAUCACAUAGCUACUGGUCAUGGACUCAUGGUCCAAGGAGGACUACUCACGUCACGUCCGGGAAGCGUCCAUGGCGGUGGAGAAGCUCCCGGAGGUCAAUCCUCCCUCCGGCAGGGUGCCGAGAAGAGGUCUUCUGACGCUCCCGAUCUUGGAAGCGCUGCGGCAACGAACGAUGGAGAAAUUCGUGAUUCUGGAUAUGAUGGAAGGGUUUCCGAUCGGAGGGGUAAAUAUAGGCCAAAGGAGGGCAUCAGAGGAGGUGGCCCCCACCCAGGCGACCUAUGGGCGCGACCAGGGGCCAGGCCGUGCAGGGAGGCCGCCUGGGCAGGCCCUGGCUCCCCUCUGGCCCACCUUUGGUGCUCCGGAAGCUUCGAUCACGCUGAUUUUUAUACAUUUUUCUCGGAAUUUUUGGGACUCUGUAAAUUGUGGUAAAAGUCCCUGCAAAAAAGACAUCAGCAGACAAAAACUGGCACUGGGUGCACUGAGUUAUUAGGUUAGUCUAAAUAUGUGUAAAAAGGUAUGAAAGUGUAGCAAAACAUAUAACAAUGUCACCCAAAAGAUCAUGGAACAAGCAGAAAUUAUAGAUACGUUUGGGACGUAUCAACCAUUCCAGAGCUCCUCAUGAUGUCCGGGAUCUCAUCCGGGACUCCGAACAACCUUCGCUAACCACAUACCAUUCUCUUUACAACUCUAGCAUCAUCGAACCUUAAGUGUGUAGACCCUACGGGUUCGGGAGACAUGCAGACAUGACCGAGACAUCUCUCCGGCCAAUAACCAAGAGCGGGGUCUGGAUAUCCAUGUUGGUUCCCACAUGUUGCACGAUGAUCUGAUCGGAUGAACCAUGAUGUCAAGGAUUCAAUCAAUCCCAUAUGCAAUUCCCUUUGUCUAUCGGUAUGAUACUUGCCCGAGAUUCGACCGUCGGUAUUACUAUACCUUGUUCAAUCUCGUUACUGGCAAGUCUCUUUACUCGUUCCGUAACACAUCAUCCCAUGCCUAACUCCUUAGUCACACUGCGCUCAAUAUGAUGAUGGAUUACCGAGUGGGCCCAGAGAUACCUCUUCGUCACGCGGAGUGACAAAUCCCGGUCUCGAUUCGUACAACCCAACAGACACUUUCGGAGAUACCUGUAGUGCACCUUUAUAAUCACCCAGUUACGUUGUGACGUUUGGUACACCCAAAGCACUCCUACGGUAUCGGGGAGUUGCACAAUCUCACGGUUUAAUAAAAUGAUACUAAACAUUAGAAAAGCUUUAGCAGAUGAACAACAGAUCUAGUGCUAUGCUUAGGAUUGGGUCUUGUCCAUCACAUCAUUCCCCAAUGAUGUGAUCCCGUUAUCAACGACAUCCAAUGUCCAUGAUCAUGAAACCAUGAUCAUCUAGUGAUCAAUGAGCUAGCCAACUAGUGGCUCACUAGGGACACAUUGUGAUCUAUAUAUUCAGACAUGUAUUACGGUUUCCGGUUAAUACAAUUAUAACAGACAAUUAUUAUGAACUGGAAAUAUAAUAAUAACAACUUUAUUAUUGCCUCUCAGGCAUGUUUCCAACAACUAAUUGAUNNNNNNNNNNNNNNNNNNNNNNNNNNNNNNNNNNNNNNNNNNNNNNNNNNNNNNNNNNNNNNNNNNNNNNNNNNNNNNNNNNNNNNNNNNNNNNNNNNNNCCCCGACGGCCACCCUCCGGCGACCGCUCCGGUGGCGGCCGCUGCCCGCUCCACUGGCCGCCCCCGGCCAUGCCUCGGCCGGCCACGACCGAACGCUGAGCCCCUCCGCUUUAGUUUGUGGGAGUAACUCCAUCCAUGGGCAAAUCCCCCCUUUCCCGUGUAGAUGACAAGUGAGGCCCGCCCCAUUAAAAGUUUUAAAAAAAUAAAGAUAUAAAUAAUGAUAUAAUUAAUAAGCUUAAUUAAUUACUUAAUUAGUUGAUCCAAUUAACCUAAGUUUAACUUGUCCGGUUAGUUAGAGUAAUUAAUUAAUUAUGAUUAAUUAAAACUAAUUGGUUUAAUUAAAUUUGUUAAUAAAAUUAGCUGAGUAUGACAUGUGGGACCCACUCUAUUUAUUAAAAUCUAAUUAAAUAAAAUUAAAAUAAUUAAAACCUGGGUCAAUGACACGUAGGACCCACUGGUGAGAUUUGACCAGUCAACGUGCCCGGUUGACUCCUGAUGUCAGCAUGACAUCAUGUUGAUGUCAUAAUUCUGAUUAUUGAAUUUAAAUAAUAUGUUUUAAUUUCUAGAUAUUAACAAAACUUUCAAAAUCUCUCCCUAAUAAUAAAGCAAAUCCGUUUCUAGUCGUCCGUCGUGAAAAUUAGCCCUAAAGUUUGCAUAAAUUACCCACCAUGCCACCGGUAAGUAAUAGAAAACGUUUCACAAAGCGAAUUUUUUUGGACUCGGCCGGCCCAUAUAAAAACAUCCUAUAUUACGCUCUGCACGCUGGGAAAAUUUUCAGCACACCGUAUGGGCCGGCACAUGCACACGCGCCUGCUUUUAGUUUCGUUUAUUUAUUUAUUUUAGUUCUGUUUUUUUUCAAUAAUUUAGAACUUCAAAUAAUCUUUAAAAUUUUAAUAAACUAAAAAUUAUAAAUCAACAUAUUUAAAAAAUUAAAAUGUUUGAGACUUCUAAAACUACUCGGAGUUUUGUAAAAAAUGCUCGCAUAUACAAUAAAAUGUUUGCAAUUUUAGAAAAUUGUUUACACAAUAAGAAUAGUCCAUGAUCUCAAAUACAAUUCCAUGUAUUAAAAAAUAUUAAAGGCAUUUAACAAAAUGCUUUCUAAUUCAAAAUAUGUUGAUGCAUUUAAAAAAUGUCCUAAAAUUUUAAAAAUAGCUAAUGCCUGUUUUGAUAAUUUCUUUUUUUAUUUAAUAUUUUCUGUUCCAUUUUUGUUUAUUUAUAAUUUAAAUAAUUUAGAAUUAAAAAACUUUUGCAUAUUAUAACGUAGGAAUUUUAAAUUAAAAUGCUGACGAAUUUUUAGUUUGAUUUAAAAAUAGGAUUCAAAAAAAGCGCCGGAUUUUUAUAUUUUUUUGCAAAUUCCAAAAAAAUGUCCAUGAAUUUAAUAAAUAUAUUACUGAUUUAUAAAAAUGUUUGUUUAUUCAGAAAAACUUCAUGCGUUUCAAAAAAUGUUUGUGAAUUUAAAAUAAAAUCCUCCAACAUCAAAAAUUAUGUUCGUCUUUUCUUGAAUUAGUCGCCAAUUCAAAAAAAUAUUUAAACCCGUUCAGAAUAUAAAAAUUAUUCACGAUUUUUAGUAAAUGUUUGUAAAUUGUAAUAAAUGUUCUCGAUUUUCAAAUUGUUACCAUAUUUAUAAAAUUGUUCACGAAAGAUCUAAUGUAUGUAGUUAAACAUUAAUGGUUCUAAGUCUUUGUGACAAUGUAUUUGUGUGAAUUUGAAAAAUUAACUAUUGGAUGGAUCGGAUUAUUAUUGUAUGUUUUCUAAAAAAAAUCUUGAAAUUCAGAUUAAAUCUUUGAGUUACCAAGAUUUUUGACAACCAUGGUAUAUAUAUUUUGAAAAUGUAAAGAUUGCUUCAACUUGUGAAUAAAUUUAAAAGAAGAGACAUUUUCUUGCAUUUGUGCACAAAAAUUCUAAAUCAAGCGAUGAUAUGUGAACAUAAUGUGGUCACCAUCAUUGGAGAUUAUAUUUUUUUUAUUCCGUGACAACGCAUGGGCCAUUUUGCUAGUUAAUAUAAAAUAAUCUAUAAUCCGGAUGAAAAUAUUUUAUACAUGAAAGUUGAUUAGAAAACGAGAUGAACCCGGUACGCUAUCCGUUCGUGUGUCACACGUCCCUAUCACAGCGAACGUGGAAGUUUUCCAUCCGUUUCGCGUGACCGGUAGUAGCCAUAGACCCGGAAAAUAUCAUCUGAUAUUUUCCCAAUCCGUCUAUGACGGGUGAUACUGCGUUAGCUCAUGCCUAGCGCUGCAUAUAACUAUGUCAUGCUUUGUGAGGCAUUUGAUUGCUAUGUUAUUUAUUAUGUUUUCCCCUAUGUUACUUCCUUUCCGGUAGACCCCGAGACCGAUGAUGAUCCGGUGAUCGACUACUUCUCGGUCGAGGAUCCGUUUUGUGUGCAGAGCAACGAGGCAAGCAAACCCCCUUGAUCAUUCCUAUAUCGCCUAUUCUUUGUCCCUCAUGCUUGCAUUAGAAUUUUGCUACUGUUGUAGUUAGCUCCUAUAUCUGAUGCAUAGCAUGUUUUUGAUAAACUGCUACAUUAUUCUACUGCACCUUAAAACUGUUUAGUAUAGGUGGAGCAAUCAUCCCGUGUGCCCCCUUAGUCCAGUUGCCCCGCUUUAUCGUCAAGUCUCGAUCAACUGAUCGACGAGCCAAGACCCGACACAGCACUCACACCCUCCUUAAUUGUACAAUGCAACAAAGCUACUGUUGAGUACCAAGGGUGACACCUCGUUACGUACUCUGAUGUUAGCUUUGUAGUGUAGUUGCGCGGCGAUGGUUCUCCGAGGGUGAUUCCUCCUUCACCAUCUUUGAUAACGACUCUGUCGUACAACCCAUCAAGCGUCGCCCAUCGAGGGUGAUUCCUCCUUGGCCACCUUGACGGUUACAUCGUUCGGAAUCCAUCGAGGGUGAUACCUCGGAUCCCCCUGAUGUUACAACCACACAGUUACUUGACCGUGUUACUGGAAACAUUGAUGAAUAAAUGUUAGGCCGGUGGAUUCCCGCGUGGAUGUGUCGAUGAGUUAAUUAAAAUUCUAAUGAUAUGGGUAUUUGAUCUGGGUUGGAGAGAGACCUUUUCGCACUAACCGGCUACGCGGGAGAAGUUAUGGUACUUGACGUCGUGGUAUCAGCCGAAACUCUUCAGACGUCAGCGAUGGAGCAGCGCGCGCCCGAGUGGUCUGGAUUAUCACCAUUCUUGUAUAAGAGGUGCCAAGGCUGACAUUGGCCGCCCACGCAACAUGCAGGAGCGCAAUGGGUGAUGGGCCCAUGAACCCUGCACGCUUAGGAUUUAGACCGGCGGGCUGGCCUCUCUGUUGAGUCUAGGCGGGGCUGCGACGUGUUGAUGUUCCGAGGCGGGGCAUGACACAGGAAAGUGUGUCCGACCAGAGUUUAUCAAGCGUGAUGUGAAACUUGGUGCACCUGUGCAAUGAUGAAAAUUAACUAUUCGGAUAGUCGUGUCCACGGUUACAUGACGACUUGGAGUUGUGCCCCGAUCUUAUACAACUACAACUGUUACUUAACUGGAAUGUUUGCUCCGGGAUUGCUUCCUCGCACGGAGUCGAGGGAGGAUCCCUGGGCGUGACCUUAAUUUAAUAUUGCUGCAACAAUAUGACUAUAAUUGUGUUCAUGCUCUACUCUCGUCUAUUGGUGCAAGACCGCUGAAGAUGCUAAUCUUCGAUAGGACUAGUAUUCUCUCUCUAUUCUUGCAUUGUUGCAGUCAGUCCACAUAUAACCCCUUCCUUUGAUACUGAUGCAUACUUAGCAUAGUUCUGAUGUCAGUCUUGCGAGUACCUUGGAUGAGUACUCACCGUUGCUUCGCUCCCCCUUUUCCCCUCGACCCGUUGCUGCGACCAGAUGAUGGAUCCCAGGAGAUGGUGUAUCUCGCCGACGACGAUUGCUACCCCGAUGGUGCCUACUACUACGUGGAGGCCGCUCACGACCAGGAGUAGUUUAGGAGGUUCCGAGGCAGGAUGCCUCACCUCGUUCGAUCGUUGUAUCUUUUGUGCUAGCCUUCUCUAAGGCAUUGUCAUGUUUCAUGUGUGUACUCAGAUAUUUGUUGCUUCCGCUGACUCAUGUGUUUAUUGAGCUUCUGUAUUCUAGCCCUCGAGGUCCCUGGCUUGUAAUAUGAAGCUUGUAUUGUUUUAAAUUGUGUCUAGAGUUGUGUUGUGAUAUCUUCUCGUGAGUCCUUGAGCUUGGUCCUAUGCAUUUGCAUGUAUGAUUAGCGUACGAUCAAACUGAGGGCGUCCCAGGGAGCCUCUGUUCCCAAGAGAUCCAAUCUGGGAGCCUUUUCCGAUAAUCUUCCGGAGAGGGAAUUGAUCACGGAGGGCAUCUACAUCAACUCCAUUGCCCCUCCGAUGAUGUGUGAGUAGUUAACCAAGACCUACGGGUCCAUAGCUAGUAGCUAGAUGGCUUCUUCUCCCUAUUUGAUCUUCAAUAUCAAGUUCUUCAUGAUCUUCAUGGAGAUCUAUCCGAUGUAAUACUCUUUUGCAGUGUGUUUGUCGAGAUCCGAUGAAUUGUGAGUUUAUGUUCAGAUUAUCUAUGAAUAUUAUUUGAGUCUCUUCUGAAUUCUUAUAUGCAUGAUUUCAUAUCUUUGCAAGUCUCUUCGAAUUAUUGGUUUGGUNNNNNNNNNNNNNNNNNNNNNNNNNNNNNNNNNNNNNNNNNNNNNNNNNNNNNNNNNNNNNNNNNNNNNNNNNNNNNNNNNNNNNNNNNNNNNNNNNNNNCAACCAAAUGACAAAAAAUUAAAAUAACAGAUUUAACCUAGCACACUAGCUAACCUAUUUCUUCUUCUCCUCCUCCUCCUCUUCUUUUUCUUUUCUUCUUCUUCUUCUUCUUCUUCUUCUUCUUCUUCUUUAUUUCUUCUCUGCUUCUUCUUCUCCUCUUUUUCUUCUACUUCUCCUCUUCUUCUACUUCUCCUCUUCUUCUAUUUUCCUCCUCUUCUCCUCUCCUUCUCCUUAUUCUUUUCUUCUCCUCCUCUUCUUCUUUUCCUUUUUCCUAUUCUUAUUUUCUUAUUAUCCUCUUUCUCUUCUUCUCCUGCUCUUGUUCUUCCUUUUCUUCUCUUCUUCUUCUUCUUAUUCUUAUUAUUAUUCCUCUUCCUCUUCUUCUUCUUCUUCUUCUUCUUCUUCUUCUUCUUCUUCUUCUUCUUUUCUUCUCCGCUUCUUCUUCUCCUCUUUUUCUUCUACUUCUCCUCUUCUUCUAUUUUUCCUGUUCUUCUCCUCUCCUCCUCUUCUUAUUCUCCUUCUUCCUCUUCUUUUCUUCUCCUCCUCUUCUUAUUUUCCUUUCCCCUACUCUUAUUUUCUUAUUUUUAUUCAUCUUUCUUCUUCUUCUAACCCUAACCUAAUNNNNNNNNNNNNNNNNNNNNNNNNNNNNNNNNNNNNNNNNNNNNNNNNNNNNNNNNNNNNNNNNNNNNNNNNNNNNNNNNNNNNNNNNNNNNNNNNNNNNCGGUAGAAGAGUUCUCCGGCAGCGUGACGGCGCUCCGGAGGUUGGUGAUGACCUUGUCUCAGCAGGGUCCGCCCGAGCUCCGCAGAAACGCGAUCUAGAGGAAAAACCGUGGAGGUAUGUGGUCGGGCUGCCGUGGAAAAGUCGUCUCAAAUCAGCCCCAAUACCUCUGUAUAUAUAGGUGGGAGGGAGGGGACCUUGCCUUGGGGCUCAAGGAGCCCCAAGGGGGUCGGCCGAGUCCAAGGGGGGAAGGCUCCCCCCCCCCAAACCGAGUUGGACUUGGUUUGGUGCGUGGGAGUCCUUCCCUUCCUUCCCACCUCCCUUUUUUUUCUUUCUCUUUGAUUUUCCUUUGUAUGGCGCAUAGGGCCCUUUUGGGCUGUCCCACCAGCCCACUAAGGGUUGGUGCGCCACCCUUAUGGCCUAUGGGCUUCCCCGGGGUGGGUUGCCCCCCCCCCCCCNNNNNNNNNNACCAAACCGAGUUGGACUUGGUUUGGUGGGUGGGAGUCCUUCCCUUCCUUCCCACCUCCCUUUUUUUUCUUUCUCUUNNNNNNNNNNAAACCUUCCGGUAAUCAAAUGAGGUCAUCCUAUAUAUCAAUCUUCGUUUCCGGACCAUUCCGGAAACCCUCGUGACGUCCGUGAUCUCAUCCGGGACUCCGAACAACAUUCGGUAACCAACCAUAUAACUCAAAUACGCAUAANNNNNNNNNNNNNNNNNNNNNNNNNNNNNNNNNNNNNNNNNNNNNNNNNNNNNNNNNNNNNNNNNNNNNNNNNNNNNNNNNNNNNNNNNNNNNNNNNNNNAGUGAGAUAAUGUGGGAGCCACCACGGGUAUCCAGACCCCGCUGAUGGUUAUUGGCCGGAGAGGUGUCUCGGUCAUGUUUGCAUGCCUCCCGAACCCGUAGGGUCUACACACUUAAGGUUCGAUGACGCUAGGGUUAUAGGAAAUCGUUGUACGAGGUUACCGAAGGUUGUUCGGAGUCCUGGAUGAGAUCCCGGACGUCAUGAGGAGCUCCAGAAUGGUCCGGAGGUAAAGAUUGAUAUAUAGGAUGGAUGGUUUUGGUCGGCGAAAAUGUGUCGGGCACCACCGGCAAUGUGUCGGGACCAUCGGAAGGGUUCCGGGGGCCACCGGGAGGGGCCACCAGCCCGAGGAGGCUACAUGGGCCAAGUGUGAGAGGGAACCAGCCCCUGGGUGGGCUGGUGCGUGCUACUGCAACAAAAGACCUUCCAACGGCCCCAGAAAUAGGAGUGUUGCUUACUCCUCAGCAACGACACCAGGAAUCCUUCUGCUACGGCUACGCCUUAAGGGACUUCCUAGGCAAAUAUGCAAAUGAUUUCCCGUGUGGCCUUGUAGCCUUGCGUUAGUGUUCCCUCGAAGCGGAAAGGGUGAUGUAGCGCAGCGGUGGUAAGUAUUUCCCUCAGUUUGAGAACCAAGGUAUCGAACCAGUGGAGGAGUAUCACAAGUGCUUGCACAAACACAAAGAGCUUGCUCCCAACGAUAUGAAGGGGUUGUCAAUCCCUUAUAGAUUGUUUGCCAAGUGAGAACUGAAAGGAACAAAGUAACAAAGCAAAGUAAAAGCGGAGGUUUAAACGAUGGAUGUGAAUAGACCCGGGGGCCGUAGUGUUUACUAGUGGCUUCUCUCAUGAAAGCAAGUAGACGGUGGGUGAACAAAUUACUAUCGAGCAAUUGAUAGAACCGCGCAAAGUCGUGAUGAUAUCUAUGGCAAUGAUUAUAUCUAUAGGCAUCACGUCCAAAACAAGUAGACCAAUAAUUUCUGCAUCUACUACUAUUACUCCACAUGUCGACCGCUAUCCAGCAUGCAUCUAGUGUAUUAAGUCGAAAUGAACAGAGUAACGCCUUAAGCAAGAUGACAUGAUGUAGAUGGACAAUCUCAUAUCUACGAUAAAAGCCCAUCUUGUUANNNNNNNNNNNNNNNNNNNNNNNNNNNNNNNNNNNNNNNNNNNNNNNNNNNNNNNNNNNNNNNNNNNNNNNNNNNNNNNNNNNNNNNNNNNNNNNNNNNNGAUGUGGAGGAGGACACCGCCUCCGCAGCCGAGCGGGCUGGCUGGGCAGCAGCUGAUGCUGCCCAGAGGGAGCUUGAGACGCAGUCCAAGCGCCGCUGGGACGUGGUCGCGGGAAGAUGGCCGUGGGCCAGUCUCGCCCCAGCCGGGUCGAGAAGCCGGUGGAGAGGCGUGCGAAGGCUAGACAUGACCCCUCCGCGCGUGCUCGCGCGGAGGAGCCUGCUAGCGAAGCAGCUUGAAGGCACGCCCUGAGGGCUGAGGGGGCCCAGCCCUCUGAGCCGUAUGCCUCGGCGCCGGUGGAUCUGGAGACGAUCCCUGACUCCCCCCAAGCCGAGGCGGCGCCCGAUGCGCCGGAGCUGAUCCUGAAUGCGCCGGACGCGGCCCCUGAUGCGCCGGAUGCGGCCCAUCUACCUCCGGUCGAGGAGGCAGCGUCGGCGGGACGACGGCCGAGCCGGCACCUGGAGCCGGCGCCAUCGUCGUUCCCCAACACGGCCCAAUUGCGCCAGGAGAUGGAGGCCAGGUCGGGAGCCGGCCCAUGAAGACAUGGCGGGCGGCCAACCUGGCACGCCUGCGACUGCCCAUCGGUACCGCGCNNNNNNNNNNNNNNNNNNNNNNNNNNNNNNNNNNNNNNNNNNNNNNNNNNNNNNNNNNNNNNNNNNNNNNNNNNNNNNNNNNNNNNNNNNNNNNNNNNNNGGAGGCUCGUCCAGCUACAUAAUGCUUUGCCUGAUCACCCUCUUAAGAAGAACGAGAUACUUGAUAUCCUCUAUAAUGGACUUACUGAUGCCUCUAGAGACCACCUAGAUAGUUGUGCCAGUUUGUUUUUAGGGAACGAACUGUAGAACAAGCUGAGACCCUACCGAAUAACCUCUUGAUCAACGAUAAUGCUUGGACUAUUCCCGAACCACCUCCUAAGCCAACUCCUAAGAAAAGAGGUAUUAUAUUCCUCAGUCCCGAAGAUAUGCAAGAAGCCAAGAAAUCUAUGCAAGAGAAAGGCAUUAGAUCUGAAGAUGUUAAAUAUCUACCACCUAUCGAAGAGAUCCACGGUCUCGAUAACCCGAUACAGGUAGUAGAACUCAAUUCUCUGCGUAGGUUUGAUGGGAGUGAUAUUACUUUUGAUAAACCUGCUAGCCUAUGCUUUGAUGAAUUUGAUAACUUUGUUGCCAAACAACAGAGUUUAAAUGAUUAUGUUAGCAGACAUUUGGAACAAAGCACUCAUAUGCUUAGCCAUUUAAGUGCUUGUGUAGACAGAAAUGUCAAUGAUCUGAAGCUUCUGAGUAAAUAAGCCUCUAUGAUUACUACUUGAUGUUUGAUGUGUAUCCCUUGCAAUGGCGCCAAAAAUAGUUGUGUCGACGGCACCAGGAAUCCUUCAGCUACGGCUACGCCUUAAGGGACUUCCUAGGCAAGUAUGCAAAGGAUUUCCCCCGUGGCCUUGGAGCCUUGUGUUCGUGUUCCCUCGAAGCGGAAAGGGUGAUGUAGCACAGCGACGGUAAGUAUUUCCCUCAGUUUGAGAACCAAGGUAUCAAUCUGGCGGAAGAGUAUCUCAAGAUCCUGCACAAACACAAAAGCUUGCACCCAACGCUAUGAAGCGGUUGUAAAUCCCUUAUAGAUUCUUUACCAAGUGAGAACUGAAAGCAACAAAGCAACAAAGCAAAGUAAAAGCGGAGAUGUAACCGAUGGAUGUGAAUAGACCCGGGGGCCGUAGUGUUUACUAGUGGCUUCUCUCAUGAAAGCAAGUAGACGGUGGGUGAACAAAUUACUAUCGAGCAAUUGAUAGAACCGUGCAGAGUCGUGACGAUAUCCAUGCAACGAUUAUUUCUAUAGGCAUCACGUCCGAAACAAGUAGACCAAUACUUUCUGCAUCUACUACUAUUACUCCACACAUCGACCGCUAUCCAGCAUGCAUCUAGUGUAUUAAGUCCAUAAGAACAGAGUAACGCCUUAAGCAAUAUGACAUGAUGUAGAGGGAUAAUCUCAAACCAAUGAUAAAAACCCCAUCUUUUUACCCUUGAUGGCAACUGCNNNNNNNNNNNNNNNNNNNNNNNNNNNNNNNNNNNNNNNNNNNNNNNNNNNNNNNNNNNNNNNNNNNNNNNNNNNNNNNNNNNNNNNNNNNNNNNNNNNNACAACCCAUGGAGUAUGACGUCAAGUUGUGAUCGUCAUCAAGAUUGCGACGUGCAAGUUCAAGUGGAUCAGCACGAAGAUAGCAUGCUUGAAGCUUGCCGUCCAUUAUGGUGGCAAUGGACUUGUGAAGAUAUGCUGAAGAGUGGCUCACCCAUAGUGAGUAUGGGGGAGCAAUCAACUAGUAUUCAUCAAGCCAACACAAUCAAGAAAGGUGGUCCAUCUUGAGGAAGCCAAGAUCAUCAUCAUCUAGCUCAAGAGGAUGAGGUGCAAGGUAUAGGUUUGCCCUUGAUAGGUUUUCUGGUUAGGAUAGAUUGUUUUUCUAUCAAGGGGGGCUCUCAAGUGAGUAGCUUGAUCGUAUCGUUCGUUGAGAGCUCAAACCAUUUGCAUCCUUGCAUCAUACUUCUUGGUUCUUAGUUGGUGUUUCUCUUUGUGAGUUUUAGAGCUUAUGGUCAUCUUCAUGACAAGCUCGAGUUCAUCGAAAACGGAGUCCAUAUGCAUCUACUAUGAUGUUUUCGAUGUUGGAGUUUUUGCCGGUUCUUCAUUCAUAGAGAUCUCACAUCUCUAUAUCUUUGGCAUAUUCAUAACCGCAUGGUCGCUGUUUGGAUAGCCCUAGUCGUCCUGAAUCCAACAAGCUUGGGUUUGCUCGAUUCGGAGCUCGUAUGCGAAAGUUAUGGCUGUUUCAGUGGCGAGCGGUAGUACCGCUGGACCUAGCGGUAGUACCGCUGGACCUAGCGGUAGUACCGCUCGACCUAGUGGUAGUACCGCUAGAGUUGGCGGUAGUACCGCUGGCCCUAGCGGUAGUACCGCUGGCUCGCGGUAGUACCGCCCCUGGUCAGCGGUAGUACCGCUCCAGGAGCUUAGUACCGCCUGCCUAGCGGUUGUUCGUGGACGGACCUUUUUGCGAAGACUUUCUUGGCGGUGGUAGUGCCGUUGCACUACCAGGGGCCCAGCGGUAGUACCGCUGGGGCCAGCGGUAGUACCGCUGGAGUGCCGGCGGUAGUACCGCUGCAGCCAGCGGUAGUACCGCUAGCUAGCGGUAGUACCGCUGGAGUACCAGCGGUAGUACCGCUGAAGCCAGCGGUAGUACCGCUAGAGCUCGGGCAGAAAGUGGGGGUAACGGUCUGAUUCCUUCCCCCACUAUAUAAAGGGGGUCUUCUUCCCCCUUGGUCUUGGCUAUCCGUUGAGCUCUUGUUCUAUCUCCAUUGUUGACAUUCUUAGAGCUUGAUUACUCUCUAUCCCUCCAAUGAUUCUUGCUUGUUCUUGAGGGAAAAGAGAGAGGAGAUCUAGAUCCACAUCUCCACCAAUCACUUUCUCCUCUAUGUGAGGGGAACCCCUUGGAUCUUGAUCUUGGAGUUCUUUGUGAGCUCCUUGUUCUUCCUCUCAUAUUUCUCCAUAGCUUUUGUUGUUGUGGAGGGAUUUGAGUGUGAGGGACUUGACCACUUCGUGUGUUCUUGCCAUUGCAUUAGUUGCAUCGGUUUGAGUUCUCCACGGUGAUACGUGGAAGUGAGAAGUUGAGAAGCUUACUACCUUUGGUACUUAGUACCCUUGAUAUUGUUCUUCGUGGAUGCUUUGGCGUCCUAGAAGCUUGGUAGUGUCUCGGAGCUCAAUCAGUGUGGUGUGAAGCUCCGGCAAGCGUCGGGGUCUCCAAUUAGGUUGUGGAGAUUGCCCCGAGCAAUUUGUACGGGUACCGGUAACCGCCCCCAAGGGUUGCCACGUGUACGGGUUCGGUGACCGCCCCCAAGGGUUGCCAUUUGUACGGGUUCGGUGACCGCCCUAAAGGGUCCCUUAGUGGAAUCACGGCAUCUUGCAUUGUGCGAGGGGCGUGAGGAGAUUACGGUGGCCUUAGUGGCAUCUUGGGGAGCAUUGUGCCUCCACACCGCUCUAACGGAGAUUAGCAUCCGCAAGGGUGUGAACUUCGGGAUACAUCAUCGUCUCCCCGUGCCUCGGUUAUCUCUUACCCGAACCCUUUACUUAUGCACUUUACUUUGUGAUAGACUUAUUCUUUAUUGUAAUAUAUCUUGCUAUCACUGAGUUGUUUAUCUUGCUUAGCAUAAGUUGUUGGUGCACAUAGGUGAGCCUAGUUGUUUGUAGGUUUUGUGCGUGACAUAUUAAACGAUUAGUUUUAUUCCGCAUUUGUUCAAGCCUAAACCUUAACUAUUUUAAAGCGCCUAUUCACCCCCCCCCUCUAGGCGACAUCCACGUCCUUUUCAAUAAUAAUUCAAGCAAACUAGCAAAGUAAUCAUGAACUUUCAAAAUAACAAGGCCAAAAGAAAGUUAUCCCUACAAAAGCAUAUAGUCUGGCUAUGCUCUAUCAUCAUUGCACAACGAAUUUAAAUCAUGCACAACCCCGGUAUUGGCCAAGUAAUUGUUUCACACCUUUACUUUCUCAAACAUUUUCAACUCUCACGCAAUACAUGAGCGUGAGCCAUGGUUAUAUCACUAUAGAUGGUGUGGAAUGUGGUGGGGGUUGCAAGACAAAAAGGAGAAGAUAGUCACAUUAACUAGGCAUAUCAAUGAGCUGUGGAGAUGCUCAUCAAUAGAUAUCAAUGUGAAUGAGUAGGGAUUGCCAUACAAAUGAUGCACUAGAGCUACAAGUAUGUGAAAGCUCUUAAAGAAAACUAGUGGGUGUGCAUCCAACUUGCUUGCUCACGAAGACCUAAGGCAAUUUUGAGGAAGCCUAUCAUUGGAAUAUACAAGCCAAGUUAUAUAAUGAGAAUUUCCCACUAGCUAUAUGGUGGUGGUAAAACGAGAGACUCUCAAUCAUGAAGAUCAUGGUGCUCAAAAUGCACAAGUGUGGAAAAAUUGGUAGCAUUGUCCCUUCUCUCUUUUUUUUGGUGUGCUCUUUGGCCUCUUUUUUUUAUGGGCUUCUUUGGCCUCUUUUAUUUCCUCACAUGGGACAAUGCUCCAAUAAUGAUGAUCAUCACACUUUCAACUCAAAACUUAGAGCAACUAUGCCUCUAUAUGGAAUGCCUUCGGUAGUGUACCGUGGCAAUGAUCUAGCAUGGCAUAGACAUCAAUGGAAACAUCAUGCUAGCUAUCUUAUGAUCGUGCAAAGGCAAUGUAGACGUGGUGGCACAUAUCAUGGUGGUAGUUGCAUGGCAAUAUAUCUCAGAAUGACUUUGAAAAAACCAUAGUAGGUAGGUAUGGUGGCUGUUUUGAGGGAGGCUAAUGGUGGGUUUUGUGCACCGGCGAGAGUUGCACGGCACUAAGAAGAUAGUGAUGGUGGAAGGUGAAAGUGCAUCUAAACCAUGGACUCAACAUUAGUCAUGAAGAACUCAUAUAAUUGUUGCAGAAGUUUUAUUAGUAAUCGAAACAAGGCAUUCAACGCAUACUCCUAGGGGAAGGGUUGGUAGGUAUAAACCAUCGCGUGAUCCCGACCGCCACGCAAAGGAUGACAAUCAAUAUACUAAUCAUGCUCAGAUUUCAUCACAUAGCGGUUCACCAUACGUGCAUGCUACGCGAAUCACUAACUUCAACACAAGUAUUUCUAGAUCCACAACACCUUACUAGCAUGACUUCAAUAUUACCAUAACCACAACUCAAAACUAAUUGAGAUGAAUCAAACUUCUCUAACUAUUCAAUGCACAUGAAGGUGGAAGUUUUCGUAUCCCUUUGGAUAAGGACCCCUUUUGAGACUACUUUCAAAGCAUAGAUCAACUACCAAGCCACGCACCGCUGUGCUCUAAAAGAUAUAAGUGAAGCACAUAGAGCAAAAGUAUCUAGCUCAAAAGAUAUAAGUGAAGCUCGACAAAAUCACGGUGAGUGCAUGUCUCUCUCUCUAGGUGUGCAGCAAGGAUGAUUGUGACACAAAAAAAAUAAUCCUACAAUACAAGACGCUCCAAGCAAAAACACAUAACAAGUGGUGAAUAAAAAUAUAGCCCCAAGUAACGUUACCGAUGGAUUGAAGACGAGAGAGGAGAUGCCUUCCCGGGGCAUCCCCAAGCUUAGGCUUUUAUGGCAUCCUUGAAUCCCUUGGGGUGCCUUGGGCAUCCCCAAGCUUGAGCUCUUGCCACUCUUUAUCUUUUUGUCCAUAAGAACUUCACCCAAAACUUGAAAACUUCACAACACGAAACUUAAACAGAAACUCGUGAUAACAUUAGUACAAGAAAGCAAACCACCACUUCCUUAUGUACUGUUGCAAACUUAAAUUCUACUUGUGCUGAUGUUGGGUUACUGUACUUUCAAUCUUCCAUGGCUAAUACCCCCCCGAUACUAUCCAUAGUUCCAUCAAAAUAAGCAACCAACACAACAAAAACAGAAUCUGUUAACUGCACACCAGUCUGUAGCAAUCUGUAUGUUUUGUAUACCUCUGGUACUUCUAAAAUUCUGAAAAAUUACGACAGUCUGAAGAAUUUGCGUAGCAAUCAGCAGCAAAAAGAAUCAACUCAAAAUCUCUUACAUAAAAAAAUGAAAAUUCUUUUCGUGACCAGAAAUUUUCUGUCUUUUCCAGCGUGACCAAACGAUCAUCCCCAAGACUAAUCAUAAUGGUUUUGCUUGGCACAAACGCAAAAAGAAACACAAAAAAACAUAAUCAUAACAGAAUUAUGAAAGUGUGAAAAACACAAAACAGAAAGAAAAUGGAUAGAUUCGUUGGGUUGCCUCCCAACAAGCGCCUUUGUUUAACGCCCUUAGCUAGGCGAAAGUGAUGGAAUCACGUAUAGUCAUCUUUGGUGCUCAAACCAUAAGCAGCGUGAUCAUUUAUCAUCUUAAGAUUUUCAUCUUUAUUAGAUGACUCACCACUAGCUCUAGGAACAAAAACAGGCUUGACGGUCUUUUUGAGAGUAAGAUUUGGAGUAUUUUGCACAGCGGAAAAAGCGGAACCCAAGUUGGUUAUGACAUCUUCUAAUUUGCCAAUUCUAGAAGAAUCAUUAACUAUAAGUUCCUUCUCCUUCAAAUUUUUCAAAAAGUUUCCCACUUUGGAUCCGUACUGAGUAAUUUGAUUGUGGAUCUUUCUAUCCAAACCCUCAAUAAGUUCAACUGUGGCAAUUUUGUUUUCAAUAGCGUCAAGCCUUUGCAUCACGUGUUCCAAGGUCAAGAUAGUUCCAUUAACCAUGAGCGGGGGUGAGCCUACCAAAUUAAUGAUAGCUCUAUAGGAGUCAAUAGUAUGGCUCCCCAAAAAGUUCCCGCCUACAAUGGUAUCAAGGAUAUACCUAUUCCAAGGAGAAAUUCCAACAUAGAAACUGCGAAGGAGGAUGGUAGUGGAUUGCUUACGAGUAGAUCUACUUUGAGCAUUGCAAAUCCUGUACCAAGCGUCCUUCAAAUUUUCUUCCUCAUUCUGCCUGAAAUUGAGAACUUCAUUUUCAGGGGUGUCGUUUGGAGUGGUGGGUCUAGCCAUUGAUGGCUAUCUCACGCACAAACGAGUGGGAAGAGAGAAUGAAACGGGCAAAAGGAAACGGCGAAGGAGAAAGGCAAAUGAAAACAACAAAUGUGAAGUGGGGGAGAGGAAAACGAGAGGCAACUCGCAACAAAAGUAAAUGCAAGAGAAGAGUUUGUGAGACCUACUUGGAUAGAUCUUGAUUUCUCCUCCCCGGCAACGACGCUAGAAAUACUUCUGAUGUUUGCUGUGUAUCCCUUGCAAUGGUGCCAGAAAUAGUUGUGUCGACGACACGAGGAAUCCUUCAGCUACGGCUAUGCCUUAAGGGACUUCCUAGGCAAGUAUGCAAAGGAUUUCCCCCGUGGCCUUGGAGCCUUGCGUUGGUGUUCCCUUGAAGCGGAAAGGGUGAUGUAGCAUAGCGAUGGUAAGUAUUUCCCUCAGUUUGAGAACCAAGGUAUCAAUCCGGCGGAANNNNNNNNNNUCACAAACAGAAAAGCUUGCACCCAACGCUAUGAAGGAGUUGUCAAUCCCUUAUAGAUUGUUUGCCAAGUGAGAACUGAAAGCAACAAAGUAACAAAGCAAAGUAAAAGCGGAGAUGUAAAUGAUGGAUGUGAAUAGACCCGGGGGCCGUAUUGUUUACUAGUGGCUUCUCUCAUGAAAGCAAGUAGACGGUGGGUGAACAAAUUACUAUCGAGCAAUUGAUAGAACCGUGCAGAGUCGUGACGAUAUCUAUGCAAUGAUUAUUUCUAUAGGCAUCACAUCCAGAACAAGUAGACCGAUACUUUCUGCAUCUACUACUAUUACUCCACACGUCGACCGCUAUCCAGCAUGCCUCUAGUGUAUUAAAUCCAUAAGAACAGAGUAACGCCUGAAGCAAGAUGACAUGAUGUAGAGGGAUAAUGUCAAACCAAUGAUAAAAACCCCAUCUUUUUACCCUUGAUGGCAACUGCNNNNNNNNNNNNNNNNNNNNNNNNNNNNNNNNNNNNNNNNNNNNNNNNNNNNNNNNNNNNNNNNNNNNNNNNNNNNNNNNNNNNNNNNNNNNNNNNNNNNAAAUUUACCACUAGCUAUAUGGUGGUGACAAAACGAGAGACUCUCAAUCAUGAAGAUCAUGGUGCUUAAUAUGCACAAGUGUGGAAGGAUAGUAGCAUUUUCCCUUCUCUCUUUUUCUCUCAUUUUUUUGGUGGGCUCUUUGGCCUCUUUUUUAUUUUAUUUUUUUAUUUUGGUGGACAUCUUUGGCCUCUUUUAUUUCCUCACACGGGACAAUGCUCCAUCAAUGAUGAUCAUCACAGUUACAACUCAAAACUUAGAGCAAUAAUGACUCUAUAUGGAAUGCCUUCGGUAGUGUACCGUGACAAUGACCUAGCAUGGCAUAGACAUCAAUGGAAACAUCAUGCUAGCUAUCUUACGGUCAUGCAAUGGCAAUGUAGGAGUGGUGGUACAUGUCAUGGUGGUAGCUGCAUGGCAAUAUAUCUCGGAAUGGCUUUGAAAAAGCCAUAGUAGGUAGGUAUGGUGGCUAUUUUGAGGGAGGCUAUUGGUGGGUUUUGUGCACCGGCGAAAGUUGCACGGUACUAAAGAAGAUAGUGAUGGUGGAAGGUGAAAGUGCAUCUAGACCAUGGACUCAACAUUAGUCAUGAAGAAGUCAUAUACUUGUUGCAAGAGUUUUAGUAGUAAUCGAAACAAAGCAUUCAACACAUACUCCUAGGGGAAGGGUUGGUAGGUAUAAACCAUCGUGCGAUCCCGACCGCCACACAAAGGAUGACAAUCAAUAGACUAAUCAAGUUCAGACUUCAUCACAUAGCGGUUCACCAUACGUGCAUGCUACGGGAAUCACUAACUUCAACACAAGUAUUUCUAGAUCCACAACACCUUAUUAAUAUAACUUCAAUAUUACCACAACCACAACUCAAAACUAAUUGAGAUGAAUCAAACUUCUGCACCUACUCAAUGCACAUGAAGGUGGAAGUUUUCAUAUCCCUUUGGAUAACUACCCCUUUUGAGACUACUAUCAUAGCAUAGAUCAACUACCAAGCCACGCGCUUCCGUGCUCUAAAAGAUAUAAGUGAAGCACAUAGAGCAAAAUCAACUAGCUCAAAAGAUAUAAGUGAAGCACAUGUGAGGUGAAUUGUAUAACCAAAGGAUAUAAGCGAAGCUCGACAAAAUCACGGUGAGUGCAUGUCUCUCUCUCUAGGUGUGCAGCAAGGAUGAUUGUGACACAACAAAAAUAAAAGACUCCCACGAUACAAGAUUCUCCAAGCAAAACACAUAUCAUGCGUUGAAUAAAAAUAUAGCCCCAAGUAACGUUACCGAUGGAUUGAAGACGAAAGAUGGGAUGCCUUCCCGGGGCAUCCCCAAGCUUAGGCUUUUACGACAUCCUUGAAUCAACUUGGGGUGACUUGGGCAUACCCAAGCUUGAGCUCUUGCCACUCUUUAUCUCUUUGUCCAUAAGAACUUCACCCAAAACUUGAAAACUUCACAACACAAAACUUAAACAGAAACUCAUGAUAACAUUAGUAUAAGAAAGCAAACCACCACUUCCUUAGGUACUGUAGCAAACUUAAAUUCUACUCAUGUUGAUGUUGGGUUACUGUAUUUUCAAUCUUCCAUGGCUAAUACCCCCCGAUACUAUCCAUAGUUUCAUCAAAAUAAGCAACCAACUCAACAAAAACAGAAUCUGUUAACAGCAGACCAGUCUGUAGCAAUCUGUAUACUUUGUAUACUUCUGGUACUUCAAAAAUUCUGAAACAUAUCGAAAGUCUGAAGAAUUUGCGUAGCAAUCAGCAGCAAAAAGAAUCAACUCAANNNNNNNNNNNNNNNNNNNNNNNNNNNNNNNNNNNNNNNNNNNNNNNNNNNNNNNNNNNNNNNNNNNNNNNNNNNNNNNNNNNNNNNNNNNNNNNNNNNNNNNAGAAUUAUGAAAGUGUGGAAAACACAAAACAGAAAUAAAAAGGAUAGAUUCAUUGGGUUGCCUCCCAACAAGCGCUAUUGUUUAACGCCCUUAGCUAGGCAAAAGGUGAUGAAAUCACGUAUAGUCGUCUUUGGUGCUCAAACCAUAAGUAGCAUGAUCAUUUAUCAUCUUAAGAUCUUAGUAUUUAUUGGAUGACUCACCACUAGCUUUAGGAACAAAAACAGAUUUGACNNNNNNNNNNNNNNNNNNNNNNNNNNNNNNNNNNNNNNNNNNNNNNNNNNNNNNNNNNNNNNNNNNNNNNNNNNNNNNNNNNNNNNNNNNNNNNNNNNNNGGGGGGGGGGGGGGUGCACCGCGGGGAGUGGCUGCGAGCACCGGGAAAGGGGGCUGAGAGGCGCGAGGAAGCUCGUCGAAGUGGGAUGGGGAAAUGGGAAGAGGAGGGGAGGAGCCCCUGAUGGCUCACCAAUGUUGUAGUCGAGGAGUGGCUCGGGGGAGAUCCGGCGGGGCAUGGGAGGAGGUGACCGACGGUGGAGGCGUCUAGAGGGCGCCGGCGUUGUAGUGGCCGGCAGCACCGGUCGGCACUGGUUUGAGGUAGUGGAUGCGGGGCCGGGGCGCUGUAGGCAUGGGGAGGCGGAGGAGGGCGACGAGCAACAGCUGGGCGAGCCGUGGUUCACGGGACGCGGUGGCGCGGAGGAGGGUGGCCGGCGGGGGCCGACGUCGAGGUGGCCGGUGGCGGUGCGUAGGGGCCACAUGGCGCCGGUGGGGAAGGAAGGGCUAGCGACGGUCGGUGGCCGUUGUGGGGCGCCGGAUGGCUCGAUGGGGGGCCGAGCCGCCGCCAGUGUGAGGGAAAACGGGGGAAGUGGGUGGAAGCGUGGGGGUGAGUGGGCACG